AGUUCUUUCUCUGGAGAUUGCUUGUUGUGGAGUUUUGUGUGCCUACAACACUGAAAAGACAUCGCCUUGGAGCCAAACCAGGAUGGCACAUAGCUAUGAGGCUAGCUUCAUUUAUCUGCAUUCAUCUUCAGAUACAGACUUCAAACUGAGGCUUGAAGAUUCAUCUUUUUAGAUGAUCUCAUGUUAAGAGGAAAUGUCCUACAGUGGUGUAUGUGAUAGAAAUGAAUGUUUCCUCACCCCAGGCUCCAGUAUGAUGCUCAGCUGUUUGGUUUUUGCACCAGUGCUUAAUGGCAGUCUCUGUGUUGGGCUGACCCAUGUGCCUUGUACUGACUUCUGGCUCUGUAAUAUACCCAAAAAUCUGUGCAUAGGAUUGCUCCUGACCCACACCAGGAUGGUUGCUGAGGCAUUGCCCAACCCGCUUGGCACAUGAUCCAUUUUCACCUGGCUGCCCUUGCCCUCUACAGCCCAGUGCUUGGAGUGGCAUCCUUGAACAGACUGACUCUUCUUCAUGUCUGAAUCUGCCAGGGAAGAUGGGCUUUUUUUCUGCUUUUUUUUUUGCUUUCUUACUGUAAGGAUGAUGAGAAAGUAAAAACGUGACUGUUAAAGCUAGACCUGCAAAACAAAGCAGAUGAAGAAAUGUGUUAUUUUCUUAGUGCUUCUAGGAACAAAACCAAUACCCAAUUAUUACAUAUUUCAAGAGAAAGACAGGCAAAGUUAGUGUUUAAAUGUGAGCUAAAACAUUUCUUUGCACAGCUUCUACCUUUGUAAGAUACCUGGGAUGGAGGUGGAGAUGGGGCUUACUUUAUGCUUUAGGACACUGUCUUUAUCACUACUUUGUAGGUAUGAUAGAAUACACAGGAUUUUUUUUGCACUAUAGGUUGUGCUUAGGUGGUGCAGGUGCCUCUGGUCAGACUAAGUACAUGUCAAGCCCCUGGUGCUAGUUAUGAUGAUUUGGUCUCAAGUUAAUGCCAAAUCGGAAAGCAAUGAGGUUAGAAUAUGAACACCAUCCAUAAGAAAAUACUGUUCUAAAUCUUAAAAAUAGUUUCAUGUGACUAUAUGGCAAGCUUAGAUCUACUGUUUUGUUUAGUCAUCUGUGACAGGAAUAUUUGGUACCUUUUUAUUCUAAGUAUAAGCAUCCUAUGAAUUUUGACUUGUCAUGGUGUAAAAUGUCUGCUGAUGUUUGCAGUAGGUGGAUGUGAAAUAUUCCUGUAAAAAGCUCUAGGAUCUUCGUUUUAAUACAUGCACAUCAGGGCUGUUAGCAGAGAGUGGUGGGUGUUUACUUAGUGAAAUUAUUACUUGUUUUGUAAUUGUGCUUGUAAGACUUGUCUCUUUUUGCCAUAAAUUCCAAGUCGUGCAGAGAAGCAUAAAUGACUGAGGCAGUGGUUACAGGCAAAACACUCCCUACUCAUAGAAUUUUUGCUUGUUCUAAUCUAUUGCCAAUUAACACAGACUUCUCAUCACCUGGAUUCUGGUGAUGAGAAGGAGUAGAGCAUAAACAAUCAAUUCCUCCUCCUUCCCCAGGCUCAGCAGAAGCCAAGAACCUGUAAUCACUCCUUUCCAAUUUCAACUCCAUGUACUUUGGCUGUGGGCUGCACACAGCCCACCGCAGUCCCUGCAGUGUGAUGCUGGGCAGUGCUUGGGACAUGUGCGUUGAUGUUUCUUUUGGCCACUUCUCACUUCUUCAGGUUUUCCCUCUGCAUGUUGGUGCCACAGCCCAACAGGAGAUUCCAAAAGGAAAUACACUAAGGAUGCCUAAUUGCAUAUUCAAAUCAGUGAGUGCUUUAGGAGCUGUGCUCAUGAAUGUUCCAAUUAAACUGGCCAGAAGAGAAUUUGUCAGAAAAAAAAUAGGACAAAUUUUCUAUGUGGAAAUGUGCCAAGAAAUUUCACAAAGAAUUCCAAACACAUCUUUCCACUUCAGUAAGUGUUUUUUAAAAAGUGUUUUUUUAAAAAUAGAAAGGGCAUUUUUUGCUUGAAGUUUGGUAUAUCCUUUGUAUAUAUUCUGUUAAUGAAAGCAUGGUGAAGCACAAAGAAGGAAAUCUUAAGUAGAGAGUAAGACCUUCAGCCUGUACCAAAUUACUUCUCUUAUUAAUAAUUAUUGAAACUGAUAUAAAAUGAAAUGUUUUAGAAAUUAAUGUAAGUUAUAUUCAGUUCCUGACAUAUCACAAAAUAACAUAAGAACAGUACAUACAGAAUUAUGGAGAAACACUUGUAACUUCCUAGAUAUUCUCUUUUAAAUAAACAAAUUUAUUUAAAAU
ensembl:lncRNA